rnacentral:lncRNA from 1 species
ACUCGCCUGUACCGAGACAUAAAUCUCCGUCAAGUUAUUCUGGUGAGGCCAUGUUUGACGAGGCAUCAAGUUACAGCGUGACUUGGACUCAGAAAAAGGAUCAAGUAGAGUCGCGUGAUGAACCUGAAUAUGAGCCUGAGUAUGAACCUGAAGAAUCUGAACCAAGACUCACCCUUUUUGGACCUGAAGAAUCUGAAGAACCUGAAGAAUCUGAACCAAGACUCACCCUUUUCGAAUCAGAGCCAAAGCUGAAACCAGAGUCAUUUUUUCUAGAGGAAGAUGAAUUAUCAGAUGAUGAUGAUGAUGAUGAUGAGCCUAUCAAUGCCGAGGAAGAAACUGCGAAAGACGAGGAUUUGAGUGCACUGAAGUUGAUAGAACUUAGAGCCAUAGCAAAAUCAAGGGGUCUUAAAGGGAUUUCAAAGAUGAAGAAAGCUGACCUUGUGAAUUUGCUGGCAAAUAAAGCCUGAUGAUCGGAAUGAACAUGAACAUUGCUUUAGUUUUUUUUGAUACAGCCGAUGAAUCUCAAGUAUUUGCUUCAUUAAUAAUCUUGAAUCUUGAUGCAUUCUACUAAUUUAGUUGAUGAGUUUCCCUUUUGCUCUUAGCAGCAAUGUUGAAAUGGCUUUCUUUCUUUUCAUUGGUUCUUAAUGAAUUUGAAGCCACUGUCCUCACUCUUCAUUUAGUAUGCUAAUUUAUCUAAGCAUAAUCAACUUGAUUAGCGGUAGUUUAAAAUCAGAGUUGAAA